UUGGAUGGGGCCUGGGCGGCCUGAGAUGGUGGGGGGCAACCAGCCCAUGGCAGGGGUUGGAGCUGGGUGGGCUUUGAAGUCCCUUCCAACACAAGCCGUUCUGUGAUUCUAUGAUCCUCUGCCACGCAGUUCUCUAGCAAGAGACCAGAUUUUCCCAAUGUGUUGACUGUAAGAGGAAUAAAAAGGGGAAAAAAAGAAAUGUGGGAAAUUCAGGGAGACUGAACAUGAUACACAUGGAAGGGACCAAGUAAAUUAUGUGGUUCUACUGAGUAACAGACUUUUGUGCAUUACAACAUACAGCUUGAUGUGAGGUUUAUAACUAUAUCUUCUGUUUAAAGAUUUCAGAGACGUACAUUUUAUUGCAUUAUUUUAUACUAUGUACACUAAUAAGAGGAAAAAGGAAAGCUUUUUCUCCAAAAUGAGCGAGUGCAUUGCAAUCAGGAGUACAAUCCUCUUCCUCAUUUAGAAUAACUCACCGGGUGUAUUCUCCUGUAGGAAGCGACAGACCCAAGAGAUGGAACACCUCCCCCAUGAGGACAGGCUGCGAGCUGGGGCUGUUCAGCCUGGAGAAGGGAAAGCUCCAGGGAGACCUGAGAGCAGCCUUUCAGUAUCUGAACUCUCUGCAGACCCUCAUUACUUAAAAUAGCUCCUCCAAAAAAUGUCACUUUGCAAUAUAACCUCUCACACUUCUUUUAUUCUGCUGCUCCCUGUUUUCUCACAGGAGUGAUGACCUCUCUUUCUUCACACCUGGCUCAGGUGGUCUCCUGGGAAAGAAGCAGCUGUGUAGAAGAAGCAGCCAGCAAACAGUCUCAUCUGCUAGGAGAUGUUAACAGGCCCAAAGACCAAGCAGCAUUGUUCAAGGAGAUGCAGGGUGCCCUAGUCACGAUUCUUGCUCUUAUCACAUCUGCUCAUCGUGUAUCCUGUCCUAAAUGCUAGAGGAAAGUAUUCACAAUUCACGUGUUUUAUACACAGUCAAGGCUUCAUUGUUUGUGCUCCAUUUUCUGUCAGAGCCACAGGUACUCUAAAAUAAGAUAGAUAUACGUCCAGCAGAUAUUCCCUGGAAAUGUUAAUCUGUAUUCCUGCUUCUUUAUAUCCCCAUUUUUGUGAGUGUGCCUCUGAUUGCUGGGUUUUGUGGCUUUACUGUAAUAGAAAUGUGUAGUAUUUUAUAAAUGGUGAAGGGCAUUUAUGGGUCUGAGAGUUGCGUCUGGGCUGGGCUUCCUCCACUUGCCCUUUUUCAUUUUCUCAUGGUUCUUUGUGCUUCGCCAAAAUUUAGUAUAUGAUAUAAAUCUGUGGGGAAAAAAAAAAAGAAAGCAUGCUAGAAGAAUAAAUCAUUCUAAAUUGGUCACAGCAGUUCUCAGAGUCCUUUCUUGGUGUGGCAAAGGCCAACACACAGAGAACACAAUGUGUUCCAGUUCUGGGAGGAGUUUGCAUUCCCCUGCAACACUGGCAAGUAACCUCUUUCAAUCAUCCUUAAAGCUGGCCUUGUGAAUUGCAACCUUUUUUUUUUUAGUUUUGCUUUUUUUUUUUUUUCCCAGUUCUCCUCUAUCUCUCUUUGUCUUCUUGUUCUGUCCAUUUCCAAUGAAAUAUUUUUUUCUGUCUUCUUCAAAUAUCUUAUUUUUAAUAUAGCGUUUCCAGCUCCCUGGAAAUUCUGCUCUUUUCCACUUUGAUUGACAGCCUCAUGUUUCCUUUCACACCCUCCUCCAUCACAGAUUUUUUUUUUGGCUGCAGCUUCCCCAAUGCUUUAAACAGACCUACUGCUGCCUUCUCUGAGAAAGUGUUGAAAUUUUUUUUCCAAUUUCAAACAGCUUUCCUUUUUAUAGCAUUUGCUAGCAGCACUGCAGUUACGGCUGAGCUCACACUUCCAACUGAAGACAACUAGGAGCCAGGAUUGCAAAUACCAGACAGGGCUUUUCUAACCUUUAUCUUUAUUGAUCUUUCAUACGAAAUGAAAAGGGAGAUGAUAAGGGCUGUAAUGCAAUUUCAUUGUUAGAUCAUUACAGAAACUUUUCAGGGUAUCACAGUGCGAGGAAAAGACGUUUUGAAUUUUGAGUGCGUUUAGCUGUCAUGAUGCACUCUUGGGUCCUCAUUCCAAUGUUGCUAGAUAAGAUGCACAGACAACAAAAAUAGUACAUAGAAUUUAUUCAUUUAUGAAACUUAAUUAUUUCUGUCUUUAUUUCCUUGGCUUUCAGUGAUCCCAGAUAGGACAUUUAUCUCAGGAGUUCCUGCUUCACUCCAGUGGUCAGUGGAGGCCAGUAUCAAUGGCAGCUCAUCCCAGGGUACAGACCUUGCUGAGAGCACAUAAGGUGAGGAUUCCCUGCUGCUGUUCUGUGAUCGGACAGGCCCAUACUCCAGCAUCAGAUCAAGACGUGCCCAAACUUUUGGAACUGGGCUGCAAGCAGAUUUGGGAAAUGCUCAGUAGUCUCACAGUGAAUAGGAAUAUGAGUCCUGUGGUGGAGCGCAAAAUCCGGGACUGAAUUUAGCAGCUUGAGUCAUUUUCUGAACUCAGAGAAAAAUAUGAAGAGAAAUCCAAUGUUCUCCUGCACAAGCGGCCUCUGUAGGAAUUUCUUAAGCUCACAGAUCAAAUUCAAAAUGAGAAAGGAACCUGGUUUUUUGUUUAAUCCAGAUGUGUUGUAGCUCAGUACAAUGGAAGUAUAGCCAGUCAAGAAGAUUUUGUGAGCUCAUUUAAUUCAUUCUUCUGCUGUUAAGAAGAUGGUGAAAAUGAAGAAUUAGUCAAAACAGUC